rnacentral:rRNA from 1 species
CAGCCGCCGCGGGAAUACGGAGGGUGCAAGCGUUAAUCGGAAUUACUGGGCGUAAAGCGCACGCAGGCGGUCUGACAAGUCAGAUGUGAAAUCCCCGGGCUUAACCUGGGAACUGCAUUUGAAACUGUCAGACUGGAGUCUUGUAGAGGGGGGUAGAAUUCCAGGUGUAGCGGUGAAAUGCGUAGAGAUCUGGAGGAAUACCGGUGGCGAAGGCGGCCCCCUGGACAAAGACUGACGCUCAGGUGCGAAAGCGUGGGGAGCAAACAGGAUUAGAUACCCCUGUAGUCCCUGUCUCUUAUAC